rnacentral:rRNA from 1 species
UACAGAGGUCUCAAGCGUUGUUCGGAUUCAUUGGGCGUAAAGGGUGCGUAGGCGGCGCGGUAAGUCGGGUGUGAAAUCUCGGAGCUUAACUUCGAAACUGCAUUCGAUACUGCCGUGCUUGAGGACUGGAGAGGAGACUGGAAUUUACGGUGUAGCGGUGAAAUGCGUAGAUAUCGUAAGGAAGACCAGUGGCGAAGGCGGGUCUCUGGGCUGACACUGACGCUCAUGCACGAAAGCGUGGGGAGCAAACAGG